CCAACAGGGAUUCCCCUAGUAGUGGCGAAUGAACCGGGAAAAGCUCAAGUUUGAAAUCUGGUAUCAACCAGAGUUGUAAGCUGAAGAGGCGUCGACCGAUGACGGUCCGGGCUCAAUGAUCCUUGGAACAGGCAUGUCGUAGAGGGUGAAAAUCCCGUCCGUGGCUCGAGUGCCGUCGUCUUAGUGUCGUGUCCUCGAAGAGUCGGGUUGUUUGGGAAUGCAGCUCAAAAUGGGUGGUAAAUUUCAUCUAAGGCUAAAUAUUGGCGAGAGACCGAUAGUAAACAAGUAGAGUGAUCGAAAGAUGAUAAGUAUCUUGAAAAGGAAGUGAAACAGUACGUGAAAUUGUUGAAAGGGAAGCGUUU
rnacentral:rRNA from 1 species